GAAUUUAUUUGCAUGUUGAUGUUUGCACUCGAUCACUGGAGAACAAUGCUUACCAUUUUACCAAUCCUCGUUGAAGCGAUGAUGAAGUGUUUAGUGGAAGCGGGAGAGGAGCUGGAAGACAACAACUGACUAGCUUGUACAGGAAGACCUGUACGUACCAAAAUUAACAAGACAAGUGCUGCGCAUACGACACUCUUCAUACCAUUUUUCGUACUACAAACAUUGGAUGGAUGGCUUGUGGUUGAAUCGUCGUACAAGAGUCGCAGUAUUCAAGCAUCGUACGCAAAGCUAUUCCGAGGCAAAUUAAGAGCUGGAGUAUUACUGAACACUGCUACCUCAGAAUUCAGAAAAGAUGCUCUUCUCGAUUAGCUGGGACAAUGCAUGCAAGCUUGUUGAUACCGUGUGCCCAACAGUAGGGUUUUAGAAACAAUCCAACCGAUCUGGCUGG